AUGCAUUGUGUAAUUAGUAGGUGAUCGGGUUUUUGAUUAAUUAAUCAAGCUUGUGUCAUUCGUAAAACCUACUUACAAUACAUUGUGAUAUUGUUUUUUAAGCAAGCAACCAUAUUAACAUUUUUUUAGCUCAUGUUUUAUUGUUUCAUCCAUUGUUGAUGAGGGGUUAGGCUCUGACUACAAACGAUGCAUGUCUUUUUUCGGGAUUUAUUAUACGAUAAGAAUCAUCAAUGUGUAUAUAUUUUGUGCAUGUUGUCAUCUAGGGUUUAUCGUAUUUGAUUAUUAUAAGUCAUACCGUGAAUCCUUCUUGACCGACACAUGUUUCUUAAUUAAGAAACCGAUCUCAUUGUAGUAUAAAAAACAAAACACAGGAGAAUUGUGUUUUGGGCCCAGCUGGGCCCAAAAAUUAAGAAAUGGUCCAUCUAACUGACCUAAUUAAUGAUAAGGAUAUCAAAUGUUAACAGACGAAAAUG
rnacentral:lncRNA from 1 species